rnacentral:lncRNA from 1 species
AAGUCUCCUCUAGCAGCCUUCAGAUGAAGAUGUGGAACUCUCAGCUCUGCCUAGAUGCUAUCAUGCUCCCACCUUGAUGAUAAUGGACUGAACCUCUGAAUCUGCACAACAUGGUCAUCCCAUGGCCUUUUUGGAGUAGAGAUAACCCUGGCCCGGUAACCAUGGCAAUAAAUUUCCAUUUUUGCUAGGCCUGCGUUAAAGUCACAUUUAGCCCAAGAAGCAGUGUGAGCAACAUUUCCCCAUGGACAGUAGAGACCUGGUCAGCUUCAAUCAUCAUAUGGGGACAGUGAUAAAGGAUUUGAAUCAUGACGAGCACCUGGUACAAGGGAAAAUGACUAGAAACUAAGUCCACAAAUGGGAAGCAGUUAAGCAAGGGGUAAAAUGUAAGUCUAUCCAAUAAACUGUACAGGAUUAUGCU